rnacentral:lncRNA from 1 species
UGGCCUUGGGGCAGGUGGCCCUGGUCUUCAGGCAUGCAGCUCCAUGCAGAUCCAGGCGUGGUGGUGGCGGCUAAAGCUGUUUUGCUGGUGGGCUGAGCAUGGGAGGUGUUUUCUCUACUGCAGGGUCAGAUCCAGCUGUGACUGCUCCUGAUGUAAGAGUCCCAAAUCAACCUUCAUCUUAGUUCAG